UACGUAGGCAGCAAGCGUUGUUCGGAGUUACUGGGCGUAAAGGGUGUGUAGGCGGUUGGAUAAGUGUGGUGUGAAAUCUCCCGGCUUAACUGGGAGGGUGCGCUACAAACUGUCUGACUAGAGUGUGGGAUGGGAAAGUGGAAUUCCUGGUGUAGCGGUGAAAUGCGUAGAUAUCAGGAGGAACACCGGUGGUGUAGACGGCUUUCUGGACCAUAACUGACGCUGAAACACGAAAUCGUGGGUAGCAAACAGG
rnacentral:rRNA from 1 species